rnacentral:snRNA from 1 species
AUCAAUUCUCGGCCUUUUGGCUAAGAUCAAGUGCAGAAUUUGUUCCUAACUGGUUAAACACACGGUCUUCCGAGUCAGGUUGCUUUGGUUCAAAUUACACUUCUGCCACGGAUGAGGUGUGACAAGGGCCAGCAUGCCAUGAUCACCAAGGCAAAUCCC